GCCGGGCGUGGUGACGCACGCCUUUAAUCCCAGCACUCAGGAGGCAGAGGCAGAGGCAGGUGGAUCUCUGUGAGUUCAAGGCCAGCCUGGUCUACAUAGUGAGUUCCAGGACGGCUGGGGCUACAGGGAGACCCUGUCUCAAAAAGACCAAAAAAAAAAAAAAAAAAAAGUCAGUCUCACCGUGUAGCCCUGGCUGGCCUAGAACCCACUAUGUAGACCAGGCUGGUCUUGAACUCACUAUCUGCCUGCCUUUGCCUCCU
rnacentral:sRNA from 1 species